UUAUUGGACUCAAGAGAAUGCAUGAAAUCGUCUGUGUUUUCUCUAGUUUUCUUAAUGUACCUGCGAUUUCUAAUAAUGCAUCUUCCAUUGUCCUUUUGAAUCCUAUAAGUACGAUCCCUAAGUCGCUCUACAAUUCUACCUAGUUUCCAACAGCUUUUUGGUACUUCCUGAUACCUUACAACUUCAUUAUUGUAAAAUUGUGGAAACUGUUUUACUCCCCUUUUAUCAAAAUUAAUUUUACUUAUUUUUUGUUUAUUGUCAAUCUUUUUAUGAAAUAUUUUAGUGUUAAUAAUUUUUGGUUUUAAAUUGUGAUUGCUGAUGGGUAGUUGAUCACGUAAAUAUCUAGACAUUAGUAAUUGUGAUGGAGUAUAAAUGUCGUAAAUAGGUGUAUUGCGAAGAGCUAAAAGAGCUAAAUACAUGUCUUCUCCCAUUUCAGUUGUUUUUUUAAUUAUGUUUUUAACAGUUUGUAUAGUUCGUUCACUCUGGCCAUUCGACCUUUGAUUUUUAGGAGAAGCAGCUAUUAAAGUAAAAUUCCAUUCUUUAGCAAAUUUUUUUAUUUCAUUACUUAUUAAUUGUGUUCCACUAUCUGCCAUUACAAUUUUGGGUAUUCCAUGACGUGAAAAUAUUGAUUUUAAUUUAUGUAUGAUAUUUUUAGAAGUUAAAUUUUUGUUUAGGUUGAUAACUUCAGGAUACUUGGAAUAGUAAUCAACCACGAUUAAAUAUGUUUGUCCAUAUAUUUCAAAUAAAUCCAUUCCUAAUUUUUGCCAUGGUUGUUUUAUAAUUUUAUGAGGUAACAUUGGUUCAUUUUUAUUAGAAUUUGAAUACUUAUUGCACAUUUCGCAUUUGGAUAUAUAAUUUUCAAUAUUAGUUGUUAUUCCUGGCCAAUAAAUACAAAAUCUCGCUUUUUGUAUGCAUUUUUUGAUACCUAAAUGUCCUACAUGUAAGUCGUUUAAAAUUUUAGGACGUAGUGAUUUGGGUAUGAUUACUUUUCGUCCUUUAUAAAUCAAUUCAUUGUUACCUUGAGUGAUUUCUGCUCUUUCCUUGUAGUAUGGUUUAAUUUCAGAAGGAACUUUAUUAAUUGAUAAAGGCCAACCGUUAUUUAAAUAGUGUCUAAUUUUUUGGAAAUCUUCGUCUCGUUUGCUUUCAAUUAUUAAUCUGUUUAAAUUUUCAUCAUUUAUGACCAAAUUUUGUUCUACAAUACAAAUUUGUAAUUCUAAAUUUAAAUUAUCUUCAUAUUUUUGAGGUAAAGUAGCCCUCGACAAAGUAUCUGCUACUAUCAGGUCUUUGCCCGGUUUGUAUUUUAAGCUUAAGUCAAAUUUUUGAAGAGACAAUCUCAUUCGUUGUAAUCUUGCUGGACAGUCAUUUAGGGAUUUUUUAAAUAUAGAUAUUAGCGGUUUAUGGUCUGUUUCAACAUUAAAUUCUCUACCGAAAAUAUAUUGAUAAAACUUAUUUACUCCAAAGUGAAUAGCUAAAAGCUCUUUCUCAAUUUGGGCAUAUCUUUUUUGCGUUUCAGUCAUUGCUCUUGAAGCGAACGCACAAGGUUUGUUAUCUUGCAAAAGAACAGCUCCUAAGCCAUUCUGAGAAGCAUCCACUGAGAUAGUGAUUUCUUUUUUAGGAUCAAAAAAUUGUAAACAAGGUUUACUUACUAUAAUUGAUUUUAAAUUAUUAAAAGCUUCUUGUUGUUCUUGUUCCCAUUCAAAACAAACGUCUUGUUUCAGUAAUUUUCUUAAAUGAUAAGUUUUUUCUGACAAGUUAUUUAUAAAUUUACCUACAUAUGUAACUAGGCCUAAAAAUCGCUCAAUGUCUUUUUUGCAAGUAGGUGAAGGCAUAUUUUUUAUUGCGUCAAUUUUUUCUUCAUCAACUGAAAUACCUGCAGCACUAAAUUUAUGACCUAAAUACUUUAUUUCAUUAAGACCAAAUCUGCAUUUCCUUAAAUUAAAUUUAAUAUUUUUUUCUUUUGCAAUCUGAAAUACUUGUUCAAGAAUUUUGUCAUGUUCAGUUUUAUUUUUUGCAUAAAUUAAAAUAUCGUCUACAUAUACCUCUACACCUGGAAUAUUGAAUAUUUCACUAAAAUAUUCUUGAAAAACCUCACUCGCUACUUUGAUACCCAUAGGCAUGCGUAAAAAUCUGUAUCUUCCAUAUGGCGUUCCAAACGUACAUAACUUACUGGACGUUUCGUCUAACGGAAUAUUCCAAAACCCACUAGCAGCAUCUAAAGUGGAAUAAAUUUUUGACCCAUUUAAUUUAUUUGUAAUUUCGUCAAUAUUUGGAAUUUUAUAUUUAUGAUUUUUUAUUACUUUAUUUAAAUUUUGAGGAUCUAAGCACACUCUUAAGGAACCAUCUUGUUUUUUGACUAAUACAUACGAGUUUACCCAUUCAGAAGAACCUUCAACUUUUUUAAUUAUUUGAGCUUGCUCUAGUUCUUCUAGACAUGUUUUAAAUUUAUCUCUUAAAGCAAAUGGUACAUUUCUGAUAGGACAAAUAACAGGUUUUGCAUUUUCAAUUAAAUCAAAAUGAUAAGGUUUAUUUAUUUUACCGAUACCUUUGAAAGCAGUGUCAUAUUUAGAGACUAAGUUUUUGUACUUACUGUUUUCAUCUUGUUGAUUUACAUUGAUAUUAUCAAUUUCUUUAUUAAGUUGUAAGAUACCAGUUGCAAUAGCUGUGCUAAAACCUAUUAUAGUUUUAUUACUAUUUGUUUGUUCUACAUAAAAGUCAACCUGAAAUUUUUGUUUGCGAAAUUCCAAACAUAAUUUACAUUUUCCCAAAAUCGAUAAUUUUUCCUUGGUAUAAGUUACUAAUACAUCCUUGGUGUUUUCAAUCCUGUUUAACUUAAAAUUAAGAUGUUUUAAUGUAUUUAGUGAAAUAAUAUUUGCUUCUGCACCACUAUCAAUUUUACAUUUAAUGAAUUUGUUGUUAAUUUUUAAGUUGAUUACAUUAGAAUUAUUGGAACAAUUGUUUUUACAAUUUAUUGUUUCAACAAAAAAGUAUUGUGUAUCAUCAUCUUCUUCAUAUUUAUUAAUUUGUUGAAUUUUCUUUUUAUUUCUGUCCUUAUUUAAUUUACACAUGUUUGCAAAAUGAUUUUUAUUUUUACAAAAGGAGCAAAUUUUUCCAUAAGCUGGACAUGCAUUAAUAUUGUGACUACGACCACAACGCGAACAAUUAUUUAUUACCUUACCCGACUGCACAGUUUUUUGUUUGUAUAUCACGUCUCGACCGUUUCCUGUAUAGUUCCUGGAAUGACCUUGUUUCGAUGAGCACGACGCUGAUUUCGUGGAAGCAUUUUGACCGUUGCGUCCAUUGCGGUGCUGGAUGACUUCUAAAUCCAAAUUCCGAUAAUUUUGACUUCGAUUUUCUCCUGUUUCACCUUUCAUUUCAUUUAAUUGUUUCCUGGCAGCUUCGGUUUGUAUGCAGCAUUCGACGGCUUUGUCCAACGUUAACGAUGUCCCGUCCUUUUCCAGUAAUUUUUCCCUUACUGAUUCAUCCCUUAUUCCAGUAAUGAGCAUUGUCUUGAUUAAGUCAUCUUGUAAAUUUCCUAGUUCACAUUCCUUUGCUUUAUUUUUCAAGUCAGUUACAAAUUGUUCGAUUGUUUCAUUGCCUUGCCUCGCUGAGAAGAAUUUGUAUCUGCAAUACGUUAAGUUCUUCUUCGGAACGAAGUAAUCUUCAAACUUCUGUUUUAAAAUUGCGAAUUUGUCCCUUUCUUCUUCAGUAAAUUCAAAUGAGUUAUAUAUUUCUAUACAUUCUUCACCCAACGAAUAAAGAAGUUGUGCACAUUGGACUUUUUCUUCUUUUUUUUUCAAUUCGGUGGCUGUGGAAUAAAUUUCAAAUUUUUGUAUCCACCUUUUCCAGUUUUCAGAAUGAUUGCCGGUUAAUUGAAGCGGUGAUAACUUGCUGGGCUCCAUUUUUUGAUUAUCUUAUUUCUUGAUUUUUUUUCCUCUAUUUGUAACUGUUACGAGUUUCUGACUGCGCCAUGUUAUGCUGGAGAGUGGGGUGAGGAUCGAGGCACGUCUGUGCUACACGAGAGUCAGCUAAAGACUAAACUUUAUUAUGUACAAUACAACAUACACAUGUAUAACAAUAUCAUUUACAGUUAACAUGAUCAUCAUUAACAUUAGCAUCAUUAUCUUUAUUUACAUUAUUACAUUAUUUACAUCACUAUCAUUAUCACCAUUAACAACAUUAUCAUUAACAACAUUAUCCUUACUCUAUUUGAUUCAGUGAAGUAGCAAUUGUGAGAGGGGGUAGAGAUGGAUUUUCAUUAAAUUGAUGAAACUUUAGUAGGUCCUACUCUGGGGUGAUGCCACUCUGGAAAAGAACGAGUUUUUGUGAUUCUUGAAUGUUAAUGUUGUUAGAUCAGUAGAGUUUUUAUCAGGAUUUGUUAUAUUUGGAACUUCAAAACUAAUUCAUUAUGUGCAAUUGCUUCGAUAAAUUUGUUAAAAUUUUUAAUUGAUCAGUCGUUUGUUGUUUUAAUAAUGUUUUAACUCGUUCUUUGUUGUGGAAAGGAUUUUGAAUGACUGUCACAUUGUUCGGCAUCAUUGUGGUCUAUUUUUUUUAAUUGAUUAUGUUACUGAAUAUGGAACCUAGUUCAUUGAUUAGAUUUUACUUUUUAGUUAUUCAUAGAUUAAUAGGGUUAACUGAGUACAAAAACUAUGAAUUUUCAUGUUCAAAAUUUGGAUAAAACCAUCAUUUUUCCACUACUUCUGCUGGUUUCUACGAUAGUGUUUAAAUGUAUCAUGGACUAUAAUUGUUGGAUAAAAAAAAUUGUUUAUCUUCGUAACCUCUUAGCAUACAUCACAGGAAUGGUACUACGUUAUUCGAAAAACGCUGUUAAAGGUUUGUACUAUUUUUAGUCUUUCUGGGCCUUUUUUUGUCGAAAAUAAGUACCGUGUAUUCGACUUCGUGUUGAAAAAAGAUAGAUUUUUUCUUUUUUACGCUUCACCCUGCUUCAUCUUGUUUGUGCAAAACUUUUUACAAUUGUUCUUUUGUAGCGCAACUUUUUUUAUUCUUUGGAAUAACUUCUGUGUUUCUGAAAUUUUGCACCAGUCGGUAAAAUUCCAUUUUUGAUCAAAUGGACUAAUUUCUUUUCUAUUAAUUCCUUCAAAACUAGAGAGAUUACAAAUUGGUUUGGAAUUAGAUUUCACGUCAGAGGAUACCUUGUGGUCUGAACGAACCCAAUGCAGCACGAUUUGGGAAUCGCAUCAAAAUGUGUAGCAUUCUUUUAUGUUCAAUGAAAAAUAUUGUCUUGGAAUCCAAAAACUAUACAUUUUCUUUAAGUCAUUUAUAAUUAGUCAGAUUUGCCAUUUUUCUUCUCGCCGAUACUUUUUUCUUUUCUAGAAUGUUUUUGUCAGUUUUGUGAAAUUUUGUUUCGUAAAAGCCUCUAAAAUCCUUUCAGUUACGUUUAAUUAACAGGCUGUUCCUAAGCUUGUCAAGUUUCUGCUCUUAAAUUUUGGUAAACAUCUUCGAAUUCUUUUCUGUUAUUUGCAAUAAAGUUGCAGAUAAUCCACACCACCUUGCGUAUAAAUGUAAAUUACAUCUUUCACCAUCUGUUUUGCUUCUUCUUACAUGUUGACUGAUUUAUUAUAGCUUUUGUAACUUCAGAAAAUUGUGUCUCAAUUUUUUUUAUUUUAAUUCUUGGCGUCUUGUGCCGUACACAGACCGCUUACAGAGCCAAAAAAUACUACAGUGAUUUCAUAGAUGUUAGGUUUUGUUUUCAAUAUCCACAUACCUCUUUAUAGGAUGUGUUGAGCUCUUCUGUCUUCUUGUCUAACUUAAAUUUGCAAAAAUCUUCCUUUUCAUGUUAACGGUUUUUCUUAAUUCCGAGCGAAAUUACAUACAGAGAAUUUUAUAAAUCAGGGCUGGCUGUAAAAUAGCUAGUUAUAUAGGAGACAUUGAAUGAGGCAUAGAAACCAAUUCGAAGUUUGUUAAAAUGAGGCAAGUACCAGGUUUUGUUGUUUGUUAUUGCAGCGUCUUUUUUUUGAAAUUUUUCUUAUGCAUCUCUUGGAUUCAAGUCUGUGCAUUUUUUUUAUAAUUUUCAGCAAAUACUGCCAAUUGAUCCAUCCGUUUUUCUGUACAGUGAUGCCUUUUCAUUGCGUUCAUUUUAUUUUCUAGUAACACAACAUUAAAAUUUUUCUACACCAUCUCAAAUUUGAAUUAUUAAAUCGUCACCAAAAGAUCAAGAUUUUAACUUUUAACAAGUUUUUUUAUUUUAAUUUGUGCAAAAGCAACAUUGUUAUUUGUUCUGGUUAAACAAAUCUGUCUGCGCAAUUUAAUUAAUUACUUUGUAUUUUGAGACAUGGUUAACAAAAAUUAUACAACUUUUCACGUAUUGUCUUUAAGAGCUUUUGUAUUCCAUUUCGUGUAUCGGUGAAACCUCCAAGUGUGUUCACAUUUUAAUAUUUGGCCAUUCCGUCGCCUUCCAUCGAAUUCAGAAAAAUUUUGUAGCAACAAAGGUCUUAAAAAAAUUAUCGUCUUGAAUGACUUCAGACACGUACAUUAAAACAGUGAAAAAAAUUAGUCAAACUAUUAUAGACCCAGAAUAGUUUGUUGUUCUAAAAGAACUUCCAGGAAUUUUAUGAAUGUUCUUUUUGCUCAAGCUGUGACUGAAGUAGGAAGGGGGGGAAGGGGCUAAUUCAUCCUUAAGGACGUGCCCCACUUAAAUUUGAACUACAAACAAAAUCGUCAUGAAUUCGAGGCAUUGCCUCAGGGACGAAUCGUCUUAUCAUCUGAAAUCCCAUAUUUCAACAAAUGAUCUGAUGCGUUCAAUCAAAUAUAUAUUGCUCCAGAAGAUAUUUCUAGAUGACUGUUAGUUCAGUUCAUUUCAGUGUGAUUAUAAACGUUAUAAAGUUUCACAAAUUUUCAGUUUUCAUUAUUCAUUUUUAAGUUUGAUAUUUGUUCGUUUUACUUGAAUACUAGUAUAAUUUUUUUGUAAGCUAGGUGAUUAUUCAAAUUUAAAUUCGUAAAACUACUUACUUCAAAAUCUUUUGUGCACAGAACUAUAUCAUCCCAGUUAGUAAUUAAUACUUCCAAAACAUGGAGCUUUUUCUGUAGUUCUAUACAGUACAUUGCUAAGUUUUUUAUAUCACGGGUUUCCUUAUUACAUAGUAUUAACGUUAUUGGUCCAAGAACAAGAGUUUAUAAUAGGUGGCUACUAACCUUCCCUGUUGUCCUUUUAUCCUCCAACUAUGAGAUGGACUUUUUCUGUGCAUUUGAUGAGUGGACCGCUGAUAAAUAUUUGCGACGGCUUUUUUACAACUACAACCAAAAGAUUUGUCUUUUAAACGCUUUAUUUGCCAAAAAGACCACCUGUCGCAAUGUAGAGUUGAUAGAUAAUCUACUUCCCAAAGAUAAUAAAAGUAGUAGAAGUGAACUUUCUGCCACAAUGGAAUUUCCGGUCAAGUAUAAUGUUCAUUGGAAAAAAAACUGGAGGACAAUCUACCCGUACUGUUCUGGUUGGUGAUGAUGAUAGAAGUUUACAACGAUAUAUAGAAUAUAGAAGCAAGAAAAUCGAAUAACACCUUACAUGAACCUCUGAGAUACAAAAUCUACAAGAAAAAAUUUUACUAUCGCUUAGGAUCUUGCGCUUGAAUCAGUGAGGAUUUUUUUGCUGAUAAUCUACUCGCCAACAAAUAUUUUCUUGAUUAUUCUACAAUUUCUUUAAGAAAUAAAAGGAUCUGUAUCGAAGUUAUUGGAAGAAAGACAGUACUUUUACAACAAGUUAACAACAAGGACUUCCAAAAAUUGUGACUUGAUCACUAGAUUUAAUUCAAAACUUGUCUCAAAUAGAAUAACUUCAUUUCCCUACAUUUGGAACUUCCAGCUUGGUUAUUCGGGUAUUGACGAUAUUGUCAGUAAUGUUGUGAUCAAACCAGCAGACGUAUCGAAUCAUUUUUCAUUACUGCUUAUGUUUGCAAGGAAACAGCUCAACUUCUUGGAAAUUACAACGAUCUUCGAGGGAUAACUUCAAAUUUAUCAAAUUUUAUAAUGAUGUAUUGAAAUUACCAAAUAUGUACCUACCCAAUGAUGUUAUCUAUGUUUUUAAUGAGAUACUAUUAGUAUUUUGUCCAAAAAUAGCUAUUUGUAAAUUUGUUAUAAUUUUCUAUUCACAUAGUCAAUUCUAAAAAGAAAUGUUAGUUUUAAGUAGACAAGAAUGUGAAGCAGAUUUAUUGUUGUAAUAUGUUGUUUUUUACCACCACAGCAAUACAUCAGUAAAUCUGUUUAUAACCAGUUGUGCAGAAUUUUUAACAGUUUGAAAAAAAAACAAGACAAAAAAAAAGAAAAAACAAACAAAAAAAGAAAAAACAAACAAAAAAAGGGAAAAAACAAAAAAAAUAUUUACGAAAAAAUGACAAAAAGCAACAAGAUAUACCAUAAAUAAAAUAAAAACAAUAAAAAAAUAAAUUAAUUAAAAUAAAACAAAAAAAUUAAUAAAAUAGAACAAAAAAUGUCGAAAUAAUUCAAAUUAAGGAUGCUAGAGUUAAAAAAUGUAAGACAGCUUUUACAAAUAUUUUAUAAUUUUUUUCGUAGUUUUUUUUAACUGAAAAUCAUUUAGAUCAUUUUUCCGUCGUUUGUAAAAGCUGCCUUUGCUUUAUUCGAAUCUAAGUAAAAAUUCAACCGACGCAUAUUGUAUAAGUAAUUAAAAAAUGUAAUGAAAUUGGGAAAACUUUUGGUUUUGUUACGUUUUUUGAUUAGGUUUAUUAAAAUUAAUUCAUAGUAAACUGGCGUUCUGUUUUCCAAAUUUCAAACAAUAAGUUAAUUAACUGUCUUCGACAGGUAAUGUAAUAUCGAUCCUUGAACUUGUGAGCAUAACUUAAACGCUUUAUUUUCUGUAAAUUAAAAAUAAUUGUUCCCGGUAUUAGUUUUAAUGGCUUACAUAUUGUCUAUGAUUUUAAUGAGUAAUCAAUUUUAUAUUAACUUUAUUUUGUUUAAAAGUUCGUUGAUGUUUGCACAAAUUUGUCCUUACUUUCUGUUCACAUUGAGAUCAUAGUCAAUUAAAAAUUUAAAAAGAUAGUUUUAAGACACGAAUGUGAAGCAGAUUUAUUGUUGUAAGUUCGGUUGUUUUACCCCCACAGCAAUAUAUCAGUAAAUCUGCUUGUAAUCACCUGUGUAAAAUUUUUAGUCGUUUGAAAAAAAAGUCAAGAAAAAAGUACAAAACAAAGAAGCACAAAAAAAUAACAAAAAAAACAGAAUAAAAAGAAUGAAACAAAAAUGCAGAAACGACUAUGAAAAAAUACGAAUAAUAGCUUUUACAGUUUAAAAUGUAAGGCAGCUUUUGCUAACACUUGAUAAUUUUUGCCGCACAUUUUUACUAAAUUGGAAAAUCAUUUAAAACAAAACAUUUUUUCUUUGGUUUGUAAAAUCUGCUUUUGUCUCGCUACAGUUGGAGUAACGAUGCAAAUUGUUUAAACAAGUGGAAGGUGUAAUGAAAUUGGGAAAACAUUAUCGAUAUUGUUUUUGAUUUUGCAUUCAAUGUACAAUUCACAAUAAAUUGUCAGUGUUUUCCAAAUUUCAAAUAAUAAGUCUGUCUGAUUUUCUUCUAUUAGUAAUAUAAGACUGAUUAUUGUGCCAAUGAACAUGUUUUUGUGAACGCUUUAUUUUCUGUGAUUUUAAAAAUAAUUGCCCCCGGUCUUAAAAGAAAAAACGUCAAAUUGUCAGAUUUUUGGAAAUCGUAUUUGGUCUAAAAAUCGUUGACAAUAAGUAAGUGACUAAACUUUACAUUACAUUUUAUUGUAACUUUGUUUGUUGUGUAUAUUAGUGUGUGGAUAAUUGUUAACGAAAUACGGAAACCUUUCAUUAAUUUUUCAAAAUUUUAACUCCACUAUUUACGUUUUUGUUAUUUUAUAGGUUGAAACUGAUUACAAUCAUUUAACAAUUUUCGUAUUUCGGUUCGAUGAUUUAUUAUUUUGGGAGAUGUAAAUUUACAUCAAACAUAUUUAUUACAUUAUUAGUUUAGUUUUAGUAAAUAGAAACAUUGAGCUUCAAAAAAGACCGGGGAAUAUGAAUUGUCUGAUUUUUGGAAAUUUGGUUGGACUAAAAAUCAAAUGACAAAUUCAUAUAACUUAGAUUAAGUUGUGUUAAAUAUUCUGUUAUACUGGAUUUGUAAGAUACAUAAUUUGUACUACAUGCAUAAAGAUCAACGAAAUAUGAAAAACAAUAAUAUUUUAAAUUAAAUAAGUUAAUUUGAGUUUUACUAAAAUAUUAUCAGAUUUUUUGACAUUUGUGACGUUUUUUCUUUUUCGUUGACAAAAAUCCUGUUAUUUUGGUUAUUGGAUCUGUACUAUCAAUAU